GAUGAACGCUGGCGGCGUGCUUAAUACAUGCAAGUCGAGCGAACAGACGAGGAGCUUGCUCCUCUGACGUUAGCGGCGGACGGGUGAGUAACACGUGGAUAACCUACCUAUAAGACUGGGAUAACUUCGGGAAACCGGAGAUAAUACCGGAUAAUAUAUUGAACCACAUGGUUCAAUAGUGAAAGACGGCUUUGCUGUCAAUUCUAGUUGGAUCCGCGCCGCAUUAGCUAGUUGGUAAGGUAACGGCUUACCAAGGCGACUAUGCGUAGCCGACCGGAGAGGGUGAUCGGCCACACUGGAUCUGAGACACGGUCCAGACUCCUACGGGAGGCAGCAGUAGGGAAUCUUCCGCAAUGGGGGAGAGCCUGACGGAGCAACGCCGCGUGAGUGAUGAAGGUCUUCGGAUCGUAAAGCUCUGUUAUUAGGGAAGAACAAAUGUGUAAGUAGCUAUGAACGUCUUGACGGUACCUGAUCAGAAAGCCACGGCUAACUACGUG
rnacentral:rRNA from 1 species